GAGGAGUUUAUAACAUGAUGGUGCAGAGUAAAAUACUGUCUAUAAUAUGUAUUCAAUCUUUCUUCAUUUUAUUAAACACUUUAUUUAAUUUUGUGACAGAGGAAGAAACAUGGGAAGGAACCAAACAUUCUUCAAACUAACCCACACUCGUGGAUAGAAUGAAAUAUCAGUUGACGAGGCUUCACAGUUGACAAUUGUAAGUGACGUGCAACCAAUGUUGUUCUACAUUUGGAAAGCAAUUUUCCAAUUUGUUUGCAGGUAGAGUUCAAUAAACGACUUGAAGAAAGAACUGUUUACCCGUUUUGAUGUAGUUCUU
rnacentral:lncRNA from 1 species